rnacentral:rRNA from 1 species
GACGAACGCUGGCGGCGUGCUUAACACAUGCAAGUCGAACGGAAAGGCCCUGCUUUUGUGGGGUGCUCGAUUGGCGAACGGGUGAGUAACACGUGAGUAACCUGCCCUUGACUUUGGGAUAACUUCAGGAAACUGGGGCUAAUACCGGAUAGGAGCUCCUGCUGCAUGGUGGGGGUUGGAAAGUUUCGGCCGUUGGGGAUGGACUCGCGGCUUAUCAGCUUGUUGGUGGGGUAGUGGCUUACCAAGGCUUUGACGGGUAGCCGGCCUGAGAGGGUGACCGGCCACAUGGGGACUGCGAUACGGCCCAGACUCCUACGGGAGGCAGCAGUGGGGAAUAUUGCACAAUGGGCGGAAGCCUGAUGCAGCAACGCCGCGUGCGGGAUGACGGCCUUCGGGGUGUAAACCGCUUUCGCCUGUGACGAAGCGUGAGUGACGGUAAUGGGUAAAGAAGCACCGGCUAACUACGUG